rnacentral:rRNA from 1 species
UACGAAGGGGGCUAGCGUUGUUCGGAAUUACUGGGCGUAAAGCGCACGUAGGCGGAUAUUUAAGUCCGGGGUGAAAUCCCAGAGCUCAACUCUGGAACUGCCUCUGAUACUGGGUAUCUUGAGUAUGGAAGAGGUAAGUGGAAUUGCGAGUGUAGAGGUGAAAUUCGUAGAUAUUCGCAGGAACACAAGUGGCGAAGGCGGCUUACUGGUCCAUUACUGACGCUGAGGUGCGAAAGCGUGGGGAGCAAACAGG